rnacentral:rRNA from 1 species
GAGGCAGCAGUGGGGAAUAUUGCCCGACUGGCGCAGCCUGAUGCAGCAUGCCGCGUGUAGUGAUGAAGGCCUUCAGGGUUGUAAACGUCUCUUUUACCCGUGAAGAUAAUGACUGUACCCGGAGAAUAAGCCCCGGCUAACUCCGUGCCAGCAGCCGCGGUAAUAGAACA